rnacentral:rRNA from 1 species
AUUGAACGCUGGCGGCAGGCCUAACACAUGCAAGUCGAACGAGUGGCGGACGGGUGAGUAAUGUCUGGGAAACUGCCCGAUGGAGGGGGAUACCUACUGGAAACGGUAGCUAAUACCGCAUACCAUCGGAUGUGCCCAGAUGGGAUUUACUAGUAGGUGGGGUAACGGCUAACCUAGGCUGCGCUCCCUAUCUGGUCUGAGAGGAGGACCAGCCACACUGGAACUGAGACACGGUCCAGACUCCUACGGGAGGCAGCAGUGGGGAAUAUUGCAAAAUGGGCGCAAGCCUGAUGCAGCCAUGCCGCGUGUAUGAAGAAGGCCUUCGGGUUGUAAAGUACUUUCAGCGAGGAGGCGUUACUCGCAGAAGAAGCACCGGCUAACUCCGUGCCAGCAGCCGCGGUAAUAC